CUUUAACCUUUUGGAGACGGCUGUUUUUUUUAACAAGUGAUGGGAUAUAAUUUUCGAUCACAUAUUCUUUGAAAAUUGUGUCAAGAAUCAUCACAAUCAUCAGAAUCAUUCUUAAAUGUCAAAUACUUCAUUCGUGAACAUAUAAAAACGAACCCAGUUCAUCUCAUAGUUUGACGACUCAGACUCCAGUACUCCAUUUAUUGAAUUUAACGAGGAAAUAUAAAAGGAAAUCUGCUGAAUCUUCUAGUUAUUUAAAGCAGAAAGUGUUUACAAAUUUUUAAAACAAUGAUAUCGACACAUGUAUAAAACGUACAAUGGAUGCACAGUUUGGUUAUAUACCAUUUUUCGAAAUUAAAUUUUUUAAACAAUGAUAUCGACACAAGUGUAAAACGAAUACAAUCAGAAAUGAAAUAAAGUAUGAUACUGUUCGAAACAAUCGAUCACACAAAG